CUUGGGUCCAGACUGAGCCCGCUGUCAGCUGGCACCUCUCAGGCCAACCCAGAGCAGGAGACAGGGAGGCCACAAGCUGCCUGUAGGUUGUUCAAGAAGCCUUACUAAGAAGGUGAUAUCUGAGUAAGACCUGAAGCAGGUGAGGAAGCAGGCCCUGCAGACAGCUGGGAAGAGUGUUCCAGGCAGAGAAAAGACCAGAAGGACUGGCCGUGUGUCCGAGGCAGAAACACUGAGGUAGGAGCAGCCCCGGCUUACCCAUGGGGGCAGGAAUCCAGAUGAGAAGGUACGGGAGAUUGGACAAGGCUGACUGAAUGUGGAAUGUGAGGGCGAAGAGUCAGGGAUGACUGGGGAGCCAGUAGGCUGGAGCUGCCAUUGGCUGCAAAGGGCUGAGGGCAGGAGCAGGAGGUUUGCAGGCAGGGUUUGCUUGUGCGGGUUGAGUUGGAAGUGCCCUUGAGACAUCCAGGCAGAGGCAUGGAGUAAGCGGUCGGCUGAGUCCCUAGUUGAGGAAAGGUCUGGGCUAGAGUAUAAAUUUGGAAGUUGUCAGUGUAAAAGAGUUACGUUAAGCAAUGAGGUUCAUUAUCCAACCUCAGACGUUUCCUUAUCUCCAGGACAUCUCUCACUCUGUGACUAAACAGAACUUCCUUUCUAACCUCUAAUUUUCUUUCCUGCCCAGGUCACCACUGGCAUGCGCCAGGAUCUACUCUUGUCUCUUCUUACCUCCUCCAGACAGAUGCCCUUUCAGCAGUAGCUGAAGUAUGAAAUAUGCUUUUCUCAUAGGGGCAGAAGCUGUUCGCUGUGGUCCAGGCCCCACGGCCUGCUGUCUGCACAGUCCCUGGCCUUUGAUCUUGUGCCUUGCCUUCUUGUAAAGUAGAAUCUCUGUCCUUACUUCCGGCCCAGUCCUGAUUUCACUGCUCCUCUGCCUUGCCUUCUGGUUACCUGCAGGUAACUACACUGCCUUUUGUCCAUGUGUAAACUCAGUGCUAAUCACCCUUUUCUAGUUGUUUCCAGAAACAUAUUCUACUUCCACGCUAAGCCUUAAAGUCUUUGAGAGCAUGUCUAGGUUUUCUUCACCUUCUUGUCCGCAGUGCCUUUCAAAUUGUCAGUGACCUAAUGCACCAGGGAUGGGGUGCAAGUUUGCUUUUCCUGCACCUUCCACAUUCUCAGUCCCAGUUGUGCAUCCUCAGCAUCAUGUACAGAGCAGUGGUGUGAGGACCGCCUGCACCUACAUCCGUUAGAGAAUCUUAAAAUGCAGAUUCCCAGGUCCCAUCUCAGACCUGCUGAACCUAAUAAAUCAGCUUCUCUGGGGUGAUGCCUGCGUAUCUGAGUUUUUAACAGGCUCCCCAGAUUAUUCUCACACAAUCAUGACAACUACUAGUGCAGAGAAAAGAUUGCGAUCCCAUUUUCACGGUUUCCAGCUUUAAGACCUUGGGCAAGUCCCCCAUCUCAAGUCGUAGUCUUCUUAUCUCUAUAAUGGGUAUAACAACACUUGCUACCUACUUUGUAAGGCUGUUGUAAAAAAAAAAAAAAAAAAAAUGAGCACUUUGGAAACAAAUUGUAAAGUGUUAUGUUCUGGCACCCUGGCUAAUCUCAUCUUCUGGUAUCUCUGCUUGAUUUUGUGUGGGCAAGCCCAGCUGCAGCUUCUACAGAUUAGCUCUUUGAGCACAGAGACCAGUAAUGUGCACAUGAGGUUGCCUAAUGCUGUUUAUGUGCCUGAGCCUUUAGUGACUAACAGUAAACAGGAAUCAGGUGGCUACCCUUCUCUGCCCUGGCCAGGCAGAGGCAUUGUUCCCCCUUCGUUCUCUGUGUCUGCCAUUGACCAUCAUUAAAACCAGCGUGCCA